AUAUCAAUAAGCGGAGGAAAAGAAACCAACAGGGAUUGCCCUAGUAACGGCGAGUGAAGCGGCAACAGCUCAAAUUUGAAAUCUGGCAACAGCCCGAGUUGUAAUUUGCAGAGGAAGCUUCUGGUGAUGCACUGUCUAAGUCCCCUGGAACGGGGCGCCACAGCGGGUGAGAGCCCCAUGUGAUGGCUGCUGACCCAGUGUGAAGCUCCUUCGACGAGUCGAGUAGUUUGGGAAUGCUGCUCAAAAUGGGAGGUAAAUUCCUUCUAAAGCUAAAUAUUGGCCAGAGACCGAUAGCGCACAAGUAGAGUGAUCGAAAGAUGAAAAGCACUUUGAAAAGAGGGUUAAACAGCACGUGAAAUUGUUGAAAGGGAAGCGCUCAUGACCAGACUUGCGCUGGGCUGAUCAUCCGGUGUUCUCACCGGUGCACUCUGCCCGGCACAGGCCAGCAUCGGUUUUGGCGGGGGGAUAAAGGCGCUGGGAACGUAGCUCCCCCGGGAGUGUUAUAGCCCAGCGUGCAAUACCCCCGCUGGGACCGAGGUCCGCGCAUUCGCAAGGAUGCUGGCGUAAUGGUCAUCAGCGA
rnacentral:rRNA from 1 species